GUGGCUGUGGCUCAGUGGUAGCGCACUUGCCUAGCAUGUGUGAAGCUCUGGGUUCAAUUCUCAGCACCACA
rnacentral:tRNA from 1 species